rnacentral:rRNA from 1 species
CGCGGCCUAUCAGCUUGUUGGUGAGGUAACGGCUCACCAAGGCGACGACGGGUAACUGUUCUGAGAGGAAGAUCAGCCACACUGGGACUGAGACACGGCCCAGACUCCUACGGGAGGCAGCAGUGGGGAAUCUUGCGCAAUGGGCGAAAGCCUGACGCAGCAACGCCGCGUGCGGGAAGACGGCCUUCGGGUUGUAAACCGCUUUCAGCAGGGACGAAAUUGACGGUACCUGCAGAGGAAGCCCCGGCCAACUGCGUGCCAGCAGCCGCGGUAAGACGUAGGGGGCGAGCGUUGUCCGGAAUCAUUGGGCGUAAAGGGCUCCUAGGCGGUUCAGUAAGUCGACUGUGAAAAUCCAAGGCUCAACCUUGGGACGCCAGUCGAUACUGCUGUGACUCGAGUCCGGUAGAGGAGUGUGGAAUUUCUGGUGUAGCGGUGAAAUGCGCAGAUAUCAGAAGGAACACCAACGGCGAAGGCAGCACUCUGGGCCGGUACUGACGCUGAAGAGCGAAAGCAUGGGGAGCAAACAGGAUUAGAUACCCUGGUAGUCCAUGCCGUAAACGUUGGGCACUAGGUGUGGGGUCUUAUCAACGGACUCCGUGCCGCAGCUAACGCAUUAAGUGCCCCGCCUGGGGAGUACGG